rnacentral:sRNA from 1 species
GAUGAUCCCCAAGGAGCAGAAGGGGCCAGUGAUGGCUGCCAUGGGGGACCUCACUGAACCAGUCCCUAUGCUGGACCUGGGCAAGAAGCUGAGCGUGCCCCAGGACCUGAUGAUGGAGGAGCUGUCACUACGCAACAACAGAGGGUCCCUCCUCUUCCAGAAGAGGCAGCGCCGUGUGCAGAAGUUCACUUUCGAGUUAGCAGCCAGCCAGCGGGCGGUGAGUAAGCCACCAUUGUGCUCAUGGGGAAACUGAGGACCACAGAGAGCCACUGGUUAGCCUAAAGCCAAAUGGUAAGCCAGGCUGAGGACUGUGAUGUUCCCAUCAGAUUAAGCUCCUACCUUUCGGUGUGAUCCUUGAAAACUGUUAUCUUUUUAGGCAUCUCUCCCUGGAUACAGAACAAAUUGAACAAAGUAGAUUGGGGGUUGAGGAUAAGCCACGGAGUGAAGGGACUGUGGCUCCUACAAAAAAAAAAAAAAA